rnacentral:sRNA from 1 species
UUUCCGUAGGUGAACCUGCGGAAGGAUCAUUGUCGAGACCGAAAAAUAUAAAUCGAGUGAUUUAGAGAACACGUGAAUCGAGUGAUGGCUGUCGCCGUCGCGGGAUGACCGGCCUGGCCGUCACCGUCGCCUCCUCUACGGGGAGAGCGGGGGUACGAUCGUGGACGGAUAAAAACACAAAUCGGCGCAGCAUUGCGCCAAGGAAAAAUUGGAAGGGACGAGCUCGGUGAAGGGCUCGGUGGCGUGGGGUGUUGCGGCACGCCACGCGGUUGGACACGACUCUCGGCAAUGGAUAUCUCGGCUCUCGCAUCGAUGAAGAGCGCAGCGAAAUGCGAUACGUGGUGCGAAUUGCAGAAUCCCGCGAACCAUCGAGUCUUUGAACGCAAGUUGCGCCCGAGGCCAGCAGGCCAAGGGCACGUCCGCCUGGGCGUCAAGCAUUGCGUCGCUCCGUGCCAGCUCCGACACAACUUUUUGUGUGUUGUUCGAGGCUCGGAAGUGUAGAGUGGCUCAUCGUGCUUAUCGGCGCGGCGAGCUGAAGACAGGGUGACGUCUCGUUGGCCGCGAACAACAAGGGGUGGGUGAAAGCUGUGAGCGCAGCCUGCGUUGUCUCGUGUUGGCUCAAGAGACGGAUUGUGCCUUCAAGGUGAUCCCGACCCACGCGUCGAUCCCCAUGCGGGCGGCGGCUUGGAAUGCGACCCCAGGAUGGGCGAGGCCACCCGCUGAGUUUAA